GAACGCACAUUGCGCCCAUUAGCAUUCUAGUGGGCAUGCCUGUUCGAGCGUCAUUUCGACCAUUAAGCCUUGUAGCUUAGCGUUGGGAGCCUACUGGCCUAGCCCGUAGCUCCUCAAAGUUAGUGGCGGAGUUAGCACAUACUCUAGGCGUAGUAAUUAAUCAUCUCGCUUUUGUGGUUGUGCUGGCGCCUGCCGUAAAACACCCAAUUUCAAUAGGUUUGACCUCGGAUCAGGUAAGAAUACCCGCUGAACUUAAGCAUAUCAAUAAGCGGAGGAAAAGAAACCAACAGGGAUUGCCCUAGUAACGGCGAGUGAAGCGGCAACAGCUCAAAUUUGAAAUCUGGCCCUCGGGUCCGAGUUGUAAUUUGUAGAGGAUGCUUUUGGCGCGGUGCCUUCCGAGUUCCCUGGAACGGGACGCCUUAGAGGGUGAGAGCCCCGUACGGUUGGACGCUAAGCCUUUGUAAAGCUCCUUCAACGAGUCGAGUAGUUUGGGAAUGCUGCUCUAAAUGGGAGGUAAAUUUCUUCUAAAGCUAAAUACCGGCCAGAGACCGAUAGCGCACAAGUAGAGUGAUCGAAAGAUGAAAAGCACUUUGAAAAGAGGGUUAAAUAGCACGUGAAAUUGUUGAAAGGGAAGCGUUUGCGACCAGACCUUUUCCUAGCGGAUCAUCCGGUGUUCUCACCGGUGCACUUCGCUAGGUUUAGGCCAGCAUCGGUUUCCGUAGGGGGAUAAAAGCCUGGGGAAUGUGGCUCCUUCGGGAGUGUUAUAGCCCCUCGCAUAAUACCCUUAUGGGGACCGAGGACCGCGCU
rnacentral:rRNA from 1 species